rnacentral:tRNA from 1 species
GGGCUUAUAGUUUAAUGGGUUCAAACGCACCGAAUUUACCGGCCGGAAUCCCCAUUUACCGGCCGGAAUCCCCAUUUACCGGCCGGAUCAGCAAGAAAGCCGCUGCUAUUAAGGAGCGAAGAAAUAAUAGCGCGCCGCGCGCUCUCUCAAAGCUGCUUGCGGUGAUAUUGUAGGUUCGAGUCCUACUAAGCCUA